rnacentral:tRNA from 1 species
GCAGCCGUAGCUCAGUUGGAAGAGCGCAGCCCUGCGAAGGCUGAGGUCACAGGUUCGAACCCUGUCGGUUGCACCA